rnacentral:rRNA from 1 species
GGAAUUUUCGGCAAUGGGGGGAACCCUGACCGAGCAACGCCGCGUGAACGAAGAAGUUAUUCGUAAUGUAAAGUUCUUUUAUUUGCGAAGAAGAAAGUGACGGUAGCAAAUGAAUAAGCUCCGGCUAACUACGUGCCAGCAGCCGCGGUAAUACGUAGGUGGCGAGCGUUAUCCGGAAUCAUUGGGCGUAAAGAGGGAGCAGGCGGCCUGGAGGGUCUAUUGUUAAAAGGCAGUGGCUUAACCAUUGCAAGGCGAAGAAACCGGCAGGCUAGAGUUCUAAAGAGGAUCGUGGAAUUCCAUGUGUAGCGGUGAAAUGCGUAGAUAUAUGGAGGAACACCAGUGGCGAAGGCGACGAUCUGGGAAGAAACAGACGCUGAGUCCCGAAAGCGUGGGGAGCAAAUAG